UACGAAGGGGGGCUAGCGUUGUUCGGAUUUACUGGGCGUAAAGCGCACGUAGGCGGAUUGUUAAGUCGGGGGUGAAAUCCUGGAGCUCAACUUCAGAAUUGCCUUCGAUACUGGCUUUCUAGAGGCUGGAAGAGGUUAGUGGAGUUCCCAGUGUAGAGGUGAAAUUCGUAGAUAUUGGGAAGAACACCAGUGGCGAAGGCGGCUAACUGGUCCAGAUCUGACGCUGAGGUGCGAAAGCGUGGGGAGCAAACAGG
rnacentral:rRNA from 1 species